rnacentral:rRNA from 1 species
AUUCCAGCUCCAAUAGCGUAUAUUAAAGUUGUAGUGGUUAAAAAGCUCGUAGUUGGACUUCGGCGUGUAUUGGUUGGUUUGAAUUGCUUCAAUACUGACUUUUUUACCCUUGUGUUUUGCCAGAAUUUAACGGGUGAUCUUCGCCGAUUGUCUGUUAGAACUGACAGGUUUACUUUGAAAAAAUUAGAGUGCUCAAAGCAAGCUUAAUUGCUUGAAUAUUCAUGCAUGGAAUAAUAGAAUAGGAAGUCGUUUCUAUUUUGUUGGUUUUCGGAAAUCGACUUAAUUAUUAAUGGGGACAGUCGGGGGUAUUUGUAUUCAAACGACAGAGGUGAAAUUCUUGGACCGUUUGAAGACAAACUACUGCGAAAGCAUUUGCCAAGAAUGUUUUCAUUA